GGGUCUGUAGCUCAGUUGGUUAGAGCACUCGGCUCAUAACCGAGUGGUCGGGAGUUCGAGUCUCCCCGGACCCACCA
rnacentral:tRNA from 1 species